AUGAAGAAAUUGCGGAAAGAAGACUUCCAGGGAUUAAUUGAUAAACUCAGAGGCAGAUUACGACCUUGGUGUAGUGGUUUUCUGUUUCAGAGUGGUCGUUUGAUUUUGGUUCAAGCUGUGCUCUCGGCCAUGCCAUAUUUUCAUCUCAUGUCUUUGGUUCCGCCGCCGUGGGUGUUCAAGGCCAUUGAUAAAAUCAGGAGAGCAUUUCUAUGGAAGGUGGCCGAGACGGUGAAUGGUGGACAUUGCUUGGUUAGAUGGAAGCCAGUUUGCAGACCGAAGGAGUAUGGUGGUCUUGGCAUUUUGGACUGA
rnacentral:rRNA from 1 species